CCAGACUCCUACGGGAGGCAGCAGUGGGGGAUAUUGCACAAUGGGGGAAACCCUGAUGCAGCGACGCCGCGUGGGCGAAGAAGUAUUUCGGUAUGUAAAGCCCUAUCAGCAGGGAAGAAGAAAUGACGGUACCUGAGUAAGAAGCACCGGCUAAAUACGUGCCAGCAGCCGCGGUAAUACGUAUGGUGCAAGCGUUAUCCGGAUUCACUGGGUGUAAAGGGAGCGUAGACGGCGACGCAAGUCUGGAGUGAAAGCCCGGGGCCCAACCCCGGGACUGCCCUUGGAACUGUGCGGCUAGAGUGCGGGAGGGGCAGGCGGAAUUCCUGGUGUAGCGGUGAAAUGCGUAGAUAUCAGGAGGAACACCGGCGGCGAAGGCGGCCUGCUGGACCGUGACUGACGUUGAGGCUCGAGAGCGUGGGGAGCAAACAGGAUUAGAUACCCCCGUAC
rnacentral:rRNA from 1 species